UUUGGUUGUAUUGGGCCUUAUGCCCUGUAUUAUGGUCUAUUUUUCAGAACUAGAGACCCUCCAUCAACUCCUUUUGGUUUUCUGGCCUUGCAUUGAGUUCCACCUGUGCCACUAGUAUAUGCUGCUGAGCUACUCUCGUUUGGUCCUUUAUUUCAUUUUUUAAUGUCUGAAUAUUUAUGGGUUUUGAAUCCUCGAGGUAAUAAUGGCAUGCUGCCAAAGCUGUCACCUGAUCAAUUUCUCAAGCUCAAACAACUCACUGUGCUUACUCUUUCUGCGACCAAUAAGGUUCUCUCUUACAAUGAACUGCUAGAGGAACUGGAGAUUUGUAACGUGCAUGGACUUGAAGACUUCCUCAUCAAUGAGUGCGUCUAUGCAGCGGGUCUCCCCAUUUCUGCAUCAGCUACUGGAAACAUGUAUUUAACUUCCCUGUUAAUUAAUUCAGAAUGAUUUUUUCGUAGUGCUUUUUUUUUUUAUAGGGCAUAGUCAAAGGCAAGUUGAAUCAGCUGGGAAGAUGUUAUGAGGUUUAAUCAAUCACCAUGGGAAGUCAUCUGUUUGUUUUCUUUAAGUCUUUAAUAAAUGUUUUGAAUUUAAUGCUUGAUGGGUUAUUUCCUUUUCAGUUGCAAUUUGCAGCAGGGAGGGAUCUCAUGCAUGGCCAGCUUGGGAGUAUGAUAGAUACAUUGGGAAUUUGGUUGGCUUGCAUUCCCUUUUUUCAAUAGAAAUGCUUUACUUCCAGUAUUUUACAACACAUGUCCCAUUCAAAGAGUCUUGUUGAAGCGUAUCUAGUCGUCUUAGUUUCUGCAUUUCUAAGAAGGAUUCCUGGGUAGAACAUCUCUUGCUUGUCUAGGUGCAGUGAUUGUGCCUCAGUUCAAGUUAUUUGCAAUUAAUAGACUUGGUAGUUAAACAUGGUCAGACUUGUUCCUGUCAUGUUAAUAGGUGCUUCACCUUAUUUUUGUCCAUAACUUGGCAUUAUAAAGAAGCACAUUUUCUGAGAACAUUUCUUUUUAUUGAUGUGCAUCUAAAUGGUUGAACUUAUUAAAUUACUUGGUUACUGCAUUAUGUUCUGUUUAAGAAGUUGUUGGAGACAAAUAAUUUGAUGUUGUAUUCAUUAAUGUCUCCUUCUACAUCACGCUUUGUGAUCUUUUGCCUUCACUAACCCUAGGGGCAAGAGGUAAUCUUAGGUGGUUUUCAGACCAAUAAUUUGCAGCCUAGAAUAGGAAUACCGAAGGAGAUAAGCUGUUAAGGUGUCAUGUUGCAUGCAUUAUUAGAACUUGGCAUCAUGGUAUGGCCAAAUACUGCAGUAAAUAUGUUUUAAUAACCUCCCAGUAGGUAAAACUGAAAAUUUUGAGUUUUUACUUAUAUUUCAUAAUUAGGGUCGUCUUACAAAAUCAAUUGAGAUCUACUGUGGAUUGACAUGAAAAGGAGAUUCCACUUACCAUUGAAGGUUUGUCAUGGGUGAGUAUGGACAAAGUCAGUCUGGUGUUGUUGCCGCAUUUUGGUAGUCACACUGGAUAUCUGGUGGUUUCUAUUGGCUUGGAUGAGAUCAUGGAAAUCAAAUUGUACUUUGAAAUACUGUUUUGUUGUUGGAAUCUAUUGGAUAACUUAAGCAGCUGUAGAUCUGUGCAGUGUAUAACAUGUGAUUUUGUUCUCUGCUUUGGGUUUUCUAAAAUUUGUUCUGUGUUUGCAAUAAUUUCACCAAAGCAUGAAUUCUUUCUAAAUGCCCCCCCCGGCCCACACACACCUUUUUUUUUUAUCCAAUCUCCUUUUAACUC